ensembl:snRNA U1 U1 spliceosomal RNA
AUACUUACCUGGCAGGGGAGAUACCAUGAUCACGAAGGUGGUUUUCCCAGGGCGAGGCUUAUCCAUUGCACUCCGGAUGUGCUGACCCCUGCGAUUUCCCCAAAUGUGGGAAACUCGACUGCAUAAUUUGUGGUAGUGGGGGACUGCGUUCGUGCUAAA